GAUGAACGCUGGCGGCGUGCUUAACACAUGCAAGUCGAGCGAAAAGACGAUGCGCUUGCUCCUAUCACGUUAGCGGCGGACAGGACAGUAACACGUUGAUCACCUCCUUAUAAUACUGGGAUAACUCUGGGACUCAGGCGCUAAUACCGGAUAAUAUACUGAAUCGCAUGGUUCAAUGGUGAAAGACGGUUUUUCUGUCAGCUAUCGAUGGACUCGCUCCGCAUUUGCUGGUUGGUAAGGUCACGGGCUACUAAGGCAACGAUGCGUAGCCGAACUGACAGGGGGAUCGGCCACACUGGAAGUGAGACACGGUCCAGACGACUGCGAGAGGCAGCAGUAGCGAAUGGGCCGCAAAGGUCGAGAGCCUGACGGAGCAGCGGCGCGUGAGAGAUGAAGGUGUUCGGAGCGUAAUGCUGUGUUAUUAGGUAAGAACAAAUGUGUAAGUAACUAUGCACGUCGUGACGGUACCUGAUCAGAAAGCCACGGCUAACUACGUG
rnacentral:rRNA from 1 species